CCUACGGGGUGCAGCAGUGGGGAAUAUUGGGCAAUGGAGGCAACUCUUACCCAGCAAUGCCGCGUGAAUGAAGAAGGUCUUCGGAUUGUAAACCUCUUUAGGCGGGGAGCAAUGCCGGGCACGUGUGCCCGGAGGGAGAGUACCCGCAGAAUAAGCAUCGGCUAACUCCGUGCCAGCAGCCGCGGUAAUACGGAGGAUGCGAGCGUUAUCCGGAUUUAUUGGGUUUAAAGGGUGCGUAGGCGGAUUUUUAAGUCAGCGGUAAAAUGUCCGGGCUCAACCCGGGCCGGCCGUUGAAACUGGGGAUCUUGAGUGGGCGAGAAGUAUGCGGAAUGCGUGGUGUAGCGGUGAAAUGCAUAGAUAUCACGCAGAACUCCGAUUGCGAAGGCAGCAUACCGGCGCCCGACUGACGCUGAGGCACGAAAGCGUGGGGAUCGAACAGGAUUAGAUACCCUGGUAGUC
rnacentral:rRNA from 1 species